UUUAAGGCCACGUGGGGAGCGGCGCUUUCUCUUUCCGUGCAGGCCUCCGGCGCGUGUGUCCCGAGGUACCGGCGAGUCCUUACAAUGUCCCCGGCGGGCAGGAGGCCGGGCGCGGCGGAUCUGGGCCCGGGGAAGCGCUGGAGGUGUGUGGCCACGCAUUUGGACGCCCAUGGGUGAGCGGCACACGGACCUCAUCCGCUCUCCUGCAGCCUCGGAGGCCCGACUUAGCAACGUCAUGCAAGAAAUAUUCUAGACAUGGAUAAUCAGACCUAAAUGUGAAGCAAUGCUCAGGGCUUCUUAGGAAUAAAUAAUACCUUCUACUGGAAGGUUUCUCAAUCUGUUUCUUUGUGAACCUAUGCAAUGAAUGUCUUGAAUGAAGAGUUUCUUGUAAAUUGUUUGGUCUCCAGGGAGGAAACUAGAAUGUGCCAGGGACUUGAACUGAUAUUAAACCUCAGCUUGUGAUCUUCUGAAUGGCUGAUUUCUGACUUCAUAUGUGAUGACUCCACUUAUCACCUUCAAUGUAUCAUCUUGGAAGUGGAAUUGAGAUAAGCAAUGUCUAAAACUACAUGUCUUCAAUGAUCAUAUUUAAACAGGAACUUUACCAUUUGUUAAAACAGGUUUCUUAACAAAAACUUUUGUAAUUUAUUACUGUCUUUGUGGAACAAUUGAAAUAAAAUGUGAGUAUGCUACCAGAA